AGCAGCCGCGGUAAUUCCAGCUCCAAUAGCGUAUAUUAAAGUUGUUGCAGUUAAAAAGCUCGUAGUUGAAUUUCGGGAUCAAAGAAUCGGUCAUGCCUUGGUAUGUACUGGUUUUAUUGGUUCUCACCUUCUAAAGAACCAUGAUGUCAUUCAUUUGAUGUUAUGGGGAAUUAGGACUGUUACCUUGAAAAAAUUAGAGUGUUUAAAGCAAGCUUACGCUUGAAUACAUUAGCAUGGAAUAAUGAAAUAGGACAUCAGAUUCUAUUUUGUUGGUUUCUAGGAUCGAUGUAAUGAUUAAUAGGGAUAGUUGGGGGCAUUAGUAUUCAAUUGUCAGAGGUGAAAUUCUUGGAUUUAUUGAAGACUAACUACUGCGAAAGCAUUUGCCAAGGAUGUUUUCAUUAAUCAAGAACGAAAGUUAGGGGAUCGAAGACGAUCAGAUACCGUCGUAGUCUUAACCAUAAACUAUGCCGACUAGGGAUCGGAUGAUGUUAAUUUUUUAAUGGCUCAUUCGGCACCUUAC
rnacentral:misc_RNA from 2 species